ensembl:snoRNA
GCAUGGGUUUGGAUUUAUGGGAGGCCCAUCACCCUGGGCCUCUCAUAGUGUCCCAUGCCACAACAAACCGUAACCCCGAACCAUUGCCUGGCCUUGUCCAUAGGCUUCGGCACUGAAGCAGACUGCACAGUG